rnacentral:tRNA from 1 species
GAAUGCAUAACUCAGCUGGAUAGAGUCCCCGGUUUUUAAUCGGGACGGUCGGAGGUUCGAAUCCUUCUGCGUUCGC